rnacentral:rRNA from 1 species
GAGUCCUGGCGUCAGGAUGAACGCUGGCGGCGUGCCUAAUACAUGCAAGUCGUACGAGGGAAGUCCAGCUUGCUGGACGGAACGAGUGGCGAACGGGUGAGUAAUACGUAAGCAACCUGCCUGCAAGGACUGGGAUAACACCUGGAAACGGGCGCUAAUACCGGAUAGGUAACAAAGGGGCAUCCCUAUGUUAUUAAAGGUUAGAGACACAAGCAGAUGGGCUUACGGUGCAUUAGCUAGUUGGUGAGGUAACGGCCCACCAAGGCGAUGAUGCAUAGCCGGCCUGAGAGGGUGAACGGCCACAUUGGGACUGAGACACGGCCCAGACUCCUACGGGAGGCAGCAGUAGGGAAUUUUCGGCAAUGGACGAAAGUCUGACCGAGCAACGCCGCGUGAGUGAAGAAGGUUUUCGGAUUGUAAAGCUCUGUUGUAAGGGAAGAACAGCACGGAAAGAAUCCGUGAAUGACGGUACCUUACCAGAAAGCCACGGCUAACUACGUGCCAGCCGCAGC